AGCGGAAGGCCCUUCUGGGUACUCGAGCGGCGAACGGGUGAGUAACACGUGAGCAACCUGCCCUAGGCUUUGGGAUAACCCUCGGAAACGGGGGCUAAUACCGAAUAUGACCUCGCAUCGCAUGGUGUGUGGUGGAAAGUUUUUCGGCCUGGGAUGGGCUCGCGGCCUAUCAGCUUGUUGGUGGGGUGAUGGCCUACCAAGGCGACGACGGGUAGCCGGCCUGAGAGGGCGACCGGCCACACUGGGACUGAGACACGGCCCAGACUCCUACGGGAGGCAGCAGUGGGGAAUAUUGCACAAUGGGCGGAAGCCUGAUGCAGCGACGCCGCGUGAGGGAUGACGGCCUUCGGGUUGUAAACCUCUUUCAGCAGGGACGAAGCGUAAGUGACGGUACCUGCAGAAGAAGCGCCGGCCAACUACGUGCCAGCAGCCGCGGUAAGACGUAGGGCGCGAGCGUUGUCCGGAUUUAUUGGGCGUAAAGAGCUCGUAGGCGGCUUGUCGCGUCGACCGUGAAAACCUGGGGCUCAACCCCAGGCCUGCGGUCGAUACGGGCAGGCUAGAGUUCGGUAGGGGAGACUGGAAUUCCUGGUGUAGCGGUGAAAUGCGCAGAUAUCAGGAGGAACACCGGUGGCGAAGGCGGGUCUCUGGGCCGAUACUGACGC
rnacentral:rRNA from 1 species